CCUACGGGUGGCAGCAGUGGGGAAUAUUGCUCAAUGGGGGAAACCCUGAUGCAGCGACGCCGCGUGAGGGAAGAAGUCUUUCGGUAUGUAAAGCUCUUUUAGUAGGGGAGAAAAUGCCGGUACCUGAUUAAGAAGCACCGGCUAACUCCGUGCCAGCAGCCGCGGUAAUACGGAGGGUGCAAGCGUUAUCCGGAUUUACUGGGUGUAAAGGGAGCGUAGGCGGGAGAACAAGUCAGGAGUGAAAUGCCGGGGCUUAACCCCGGAACUGCUUUGGAAACUGUGCAGCUAGAGUGUAGGAGAGGUAGGUGGAAUUCAUGGUGUAGCGGUGAAAUGCGUAGAGAUCAGGAGGAACACCAGUUGCGAAGGCGGCUUACUAGACUACAACUGACGUUGAGGCACGAAAGCGUGGGGAGCAAACAGGAUUAGAUACCCUAGUAGUC
rnacentral:rRNA from 1 species